rnacentral:rRNA from 1 species
GCUUGACAUGUGCCGGACGGCCGCGGAGACGCGGUUUCCCUUCGGGGCCGGUUCACAGGUGGUGCAUGGUCGUCGUCAGCUCGUGUCGUGAGAUGUUGGGUCAAGUCCCGCAACGAGCGCAACCCUCGCCUCGUGUUGCCAGCACGUUAUGGUGGGAACUCACGGGGGACCGCCGGGGUUAACCCGGAGGAAGGUGGGGA